rnacentral:rRNA from 1 species
GACGAACGCUGGCGGCGUGCUUAAUACAUGCAAGUCGAGCGAACAGACGCGGCUCUUGCUCCUCUCACGUUAGCGGCGGACGUGAGUGUAACACGUGGAUCCCCUCCCUAUCAGACUGGUAUCACUUCGAGAAUCCGGAGCUUAUACCGGAUAACCUCCUGCAGCAUAGGGGUGAACGGAGAAAUACGGCUUUGGUGGCUCUACUAGCUGCAUCCGAGUCGUAUUAGCUAGUUGGGAAGGUAACGGCUUACCACGGCAACCAUGCGUAGCCGAACUGAGAGGGUGAUAGGCGACACGGGAACGGAAACAGGGACCAGAGGACUAAGGGAGGCAGCAGUAGGGAAUCUUCCGCAAUGGGCGAAAGCCUGACGGAGCAACGCCGCGUGAGUGAAGAAGGUCUUCGGAGCGUAAAGCUCUGUUAUUAGGGAAGAACAAAUGUGGAAGUAACUAUGCACGUCUUGACGGUACCUAAUCAGAAAGCCACGGCUAACUACGUG